AUGGAGGUCAUCCCAGCCGCGGCGGCAGCGCACGACGGGCAGAAGCAGAGGUUCGACCUCGGGGUCUUCGUCGGCGACCUCCCCCUGGACGACGACGACGCGGCCAGUGACAAUGAGUCGCUGGAGGGGCUGCAGCAGGAGCUCGAGGACUGCAAGAACGACCAGGAAGUAGCAAACAUCCUGGCUAAUGGCAUCAAGAUGCGUGAUUACACAAAAGGUGUCGAGAACAGCAUACGCCAAGUUGAGCUGGAUUCUAUACAGGAUUACAUUACAGAAAGUGAAAACCUAGUGUUGCUGCAUGAUCAGAUCUCUGACUGCGAUAAUAUUCUGUCACAAAUGGAAACCGUUCUAACUGGAUUCCAGACAGAAAUUGGUUCUAUAAGUUCAGAGAUAAAGGUACUUCAGGAGAAAUCUAUGGACAUGGGAUUAAAGUUGAGAAACCGUAAGGCUGCAGAAUCAAAACUGUCAAAAUUUGUUGAGGAUAUAAUAGUACCUCCAAGAAUGAUUGAUAUAAUUGUUGAUGGAGAGGUUAACGAUGAAUACAUGAAAACACUUGAGAUUCUAAGCAAAAAAAUCAAAUUCAUUGAAGCCGAUUCGAUGGUUAAAACAUCAAAGGCUCUCAAAGAUGUUCAGCCUGAGGUUGAGAGACUUCGGCAGAAAGCAGUAUCAAAGAUUUUUGAGUUUAUUAUCCAAAAGUUCUAUGCCUUGAGAAAACCAAAAACAAACAUUCAGAUUCUACAGCAGAGUGUCCUUAAAUACAAAUACACAAUUGUUUUCCUCAAGGAACAUGCUAAGGAGAUAUAUGCAGAAGUUCGCACGGCUUACAUUGAUACUAUGAAUAAGGUUCUGAGUGCACAUUUUCGUGCCUAUAUACAAGCUUUAGAGAAAUUACAGCUGGAUAUAGCAACCUCCACUGACUUACUUGGAGUUGAAACUAGAAGUACAGGAUACCUUUUCUCCAUUGGAAAGGAACCUCUGAAAGCCCGUUCUUCGGUGUUUGCUCUUGGUGAAAGAAUAAACGUCUUAAAGGAUAUUGAGCAGCCUGCAUUGAUACCUCAUAUAUCUGAAGCCAAGUCACAGAAGUAUCCAUAUGAAGUUCUUUUCAGAAGCUUACAAAAACUUCUGAUUGAUACAGCUACUUCUGAGUACCUUUUCUCGGAUGAUUUCUUUGGUGAAGAAUCUUUAUUCCAAGAUAUAUUUGCUGGACCAAUUCAAGUUGUCGAUGAAUAUUUCGAUGCUGUACUUCUGAACUGCUACGAUGCAAUAGGAAUAAUGCUUAUGAUUCGGAUAAUUCAUCAGCACCAGCUUAUCAUGUUUAAGCGGCGAAUUCCAUGUUUGGACUCUUACCUAGACAAGGUUAACAUGUCACUUUGGCCUCGCUUCAAGAUGGUCUUUGACUUGCAUUUGAGCAGCUUGCGGAAUGCUAAUAUUAAGACUCUUUGGGAGGAUGAUGUGCAUCCUCACUAUGUAACAAGAAGAUAUGCUGAAUUUACAGCGUCUCUUGUUCAUCUCAAUGUUGAAUAUGGGGAUGGUCAGCUUGAUCUAAAUCUUGAGCGAUUACGGAUGGCUAUUGAAGACUUGCUUGUUAAGUUGGCCAAGAUGUUCCCUAAACCAAAGAUGCAAACUGUUUUCCUGAUAAACAACUAUGAUUUAACAAUUGCCAUAUUGAAGGAAGCUGGCACUGAGGGUGGAAAAACACAACUUCACUUCGAGGAGGUUCUUAAGAGCAACAUUGCAAUAUAUGUGGAGGAAGUGCUUCUGGAGCAUUUCAGUGAUUUGAUCAAGUUUGUUAAAACGCGUACAUCGGAAGACCCUGCCUCGAGUUCGGACAAGGCCAACAUCGGCGACGUGGAGCCAUUGGUGAAGGAUUUCGCGAACCGAUGGAAGGCCGCGAUCGAGCUGAUGCACAAGGAUGUGAUCACAUCCUUCAGCAACUUCCUGUGCGGGAUGGAGAUCCUGAAGGCGGCCCUCACACAGCUGCUCCUGUACUACACGAGGCUGACCGAAUGCGUCAAGAGGGUCAACUGCGGCUCCGCGCUCAACAAGGACCUGGUCUCCAUAUCCUCCAUCCUGUACGAGAUCAAGAAAUACUCUAGGACCUUUUAG
rnacentral:rRNA from 1 species